rnacentral:rRNA from 1 species
AGGGUUUGAUCAUGGCUCAGAUUGAACGCUGGCGGCAUGCCUUACACAUGCAAGUCGAGCGGCAGCGCGGGGGCAACCCUGGCGGCGAGCGGCGAACGGGUGAGUAAUGCAUCGGAACGUGUCCUCUUGUGGGGGAUAACCAGUCGAAAGACUGGCUAAUACCGCAUGAGCUCGAGAGAGGAAAGCAGGGGACCCGCAAGGGCCUUGCGCGAGUGGAGCGGCCGAUGCCGGAUUAGCUAGUUGGUGGGGUAAUAGCCCACCAAGGCGACGAUCCGUAGCUGGUCUGAGAGGACGACCAGCCACACUGGGACUGAGACACGGCCCAGACUCCUACGGGAGGCAGCAGUGGGGAAUUUUGGACAAUGGGGGCAACCCUGAUCCAGCCAUGCCGCGUGUGUGAAGAAGGCCUUCGGGUUGUAAAGCACUUUCGGACGGAACGAAAUCGCGCGGGCGAAUAUCCCGCGUGGAUGACGGUACCGUAAGAAGAAGCACCGGCUAACUACGUGCCAGCAGCCGCGGUAAUACGUAGGGUGCGAGCGUUAAUCGGAAUUACUGGGCGUAAAGUGUGCGCAGGCGGCGUCGCAAGUCGAGUGUGAAAUCCCCGGGCUUAACUUGGGAAUUGCGCUCGAAACUACGAUGCUGGAGUGUGGCAGAGGAAGGUGGAAUUCCACGUGUAGCGGUGAAAUGCGUAGGGAUGUGGAGGAACACCGAUGGCGAAGGCAGCCUUCUGGGCCAACACUGACGCUCAUGCACGAAAGCGUGGGGAGCAAACAGGAUUAGAUACCCUGAUAGUCCACGCCCUAAACGAUGAUGACUAGUUGUUGGGGGAGUUAAAUCCCUUAGUAACGCAGCUAACGCGUGAAGUCAUCCGCCUGGGGAGUACGGUCG